rnacentral:lncRNA from 1 species
CCAACCUGGACCCCAUCCAAUAGGCUCGUGGUCCCUGAUGGUCCUGGACCACUGAUUUGAGGCCUUUCUGCUUCCUUUGAUUCAGUCUUUGGCAGAGACCCAGGAGCAGGAGUCCUUGAUGGCACCUGGCCCUUUCUAGUCACCGACAAGGGAAACCUGAGAAACCAUUCUCAGAAAUGGAACUAAAUUGACACAGCAUUUGUCUCCUCCAGAGGAUACAGCACCAAGGCGCCAUCUUGGAAGUAGACUGGAGCUCUUAGCAGACCAGAACCUGUGGAUGCCAGACUCAUCAACAAAGGCCCACUUGUUCCUUGGGAUUUGUGUCUUGAUGCAUUCUCAAAGAGAGGUUUCCAGGGCACCAGUCACCUGCAGCUCACCUGAAGAUGGCACAUGGCAUGUCGCUG